AGUGAACGCUGGCGGCAGGCCUAACACAUGCAAGUCGAGCGAGCGGCGGACGGGUGAGUAAUGUCUGGGGAACUGCCUGACGGAGGGGGAUAACUACUGGAAACGGUAGCUAAUACCGCAUACCAUCAGAUGUGCCCAGAUUGGAGUAGAGAGUAGGUGGGGUAACGGCUCUCCUAGGCGACGAUCCCUAGCUGGUCUGAGAGGAUGACCAGCUACACGGGAACAGAGACACGGUCCAGACUACUACGGUGGGAAGCAGUGGCAAAUAGUGGACACUGGGCGCAACCCUGAUGCAGUCAUGCCGCGUGUGUGAAGAAGGCCUUCGGGUUUUAAAGCACUUACAGCGGGGAGGCGUUGCCCUCAGUAGAAGCACCGGCUAACUCCGUGCCAGCCGCCGCGGUAAUUC
rnacentral:rRNA from 1 species